GCUUCCAUAGCCAAGUGGUAAGGCAAUUGACUGCAACUCAAUGACCGUUGGUUCAAAUCCGACUGGAAGCUCCA
rnacentral:tRNA from 3 species